UCAGAAAUUGAUCCAGCCAUGUCAAAGCGAGAACGUCACACGGUAGAGCAAGAACUUUUGAGGGCAAGACAAGAACUUUUAAGGACAGAGCAAGAACUAAGAAGACAAAGGCAAGACAUACAGACUCAAAGGGAAAGACUAAGGACUAUUUUGAGAAGAAUAAGAAAUGCAUACCUAUCACUUAAGUGCCCAGGAUGUAAAAACACUUUCACCUCAAAGGGGAAUCAUUGUCCUAAAGUAUUAAGAUGUGGACACAGCCUUUGUAAGGUAUGUGUCCCAGUGUAUACAGUGAAAUGUACCUGCUUCUGUCCUGUAGACAAUGUGGAGACUAUUGUAGAGAGAAAACUAGCCACUAACAAACAAGUGGCAGCUGUUUUGGAGAGACUGGAACUUCUGUUUUCAAAUACCAAUGGUCUGGAACUCUAAGCCAGUACUGAUAUGUCAGCUCAGCUGAUCACACAAGACAUCUUGUACUGAAUGUAAGCUUUGACUACUUGUUUUUCUUUUAGUUACUGUUCACAAUUUUGUUGAAAGUAAUUUCCAUUCUAAAGAUGAUUCUAUACUGGUGCUUUAGCAUCUCUGCUGAACUAUUUAGUCAACAUUUUUGUUCUCUAGACAUUUUAAUGAAUCACUUUCUUCCUUUUUUUCAAGGAUGAAUAACUUAAAAUAAAGAAACAUUUACUAAACUCAAAGUGAUUUUAUGUUAUUAUAUCUUUGUUUAUUUCUGCACCGUUGAAGUAGGCUAUUUAUAAAUAUUCACAUACUUCAGCUACUACAAAUUUGCAUUUUGAUUCAUUUGACAUUUGAAUUGUGUUUGUGAUACCAAAAAGGAUACAUUUAAAGUUUUUAAUUUUUUAAAAAUAGUAUUUAGAGAUUUUUAAACAAAACUUGUCAUUCUCUGAUUAUAGCAAACCUCAAAUCUAUUUCUAUGACAUUUUUCAACUCCAUUGUUUGCCUGAGCAUGGUUGAAAGUUUGAAUGCUACAAUGGUCAGUGUAAGAUUAAUAUUACAUCUGAAUAAGUAAGAAAGGUGGAGACAAUUAAGCUUUCAUUUUUAGACCUUUACAUUUAGAGGACAUGAAAACAAAAUGAAAUGUUCAUUUGUCAACUUGUCCUCCAAGUAACAUGUACAAACUACUUUUAACAAUUUUGAUAAAAGUAAUUCAACUUAUUUCAUUAGAUGUAUGCCUUUUGAUACUAUAUACUUUUAUUUCUUUGCUUAACUAAUUAGUACACAUUUUUGUCCCUUGUUAUCCUUUUUUUUCAAUUCUAAUGAAAAACUAUCACUCAAGUGUUGAACUUAAUAAAAACAAAAAACAAAG
rnacentral:sRNA from 1 species